CCACUCUCUCAUUUUUUCGUCCUCCCCCAAAUCUGUACAAGUGCUUGGUGUUCCCGGAGGGGUUCUUUUGACGUUCAGAUCCGACCGCUCCUGCAAUACCAGAUAGAGAGAAAGAUGGCCGAUGCUGCUGGUCAAGUGGUUUGUGGAGUUUGUUUCAACCAUUGCAACUAUGAGAGCAAGGGAAGCGGUUUCAGCACGUUUGCAUGGGAGGAGUUCAACAAUGCAGGGGUUGUGCCUUGCAAUGAAAGGGUCUGUUUCAAUAAUGUGACUAGAGAGAAGGUGACUUUGUGGCAAACCAAAGGACAUACACUGUAAAGUGUUAAAAGGGUCGUACAAAGAGUGCUAUGUAUGGGAGCGGUUGGACGAAGUUCUAUGAUGACAACAAGCUAGGGAAGGGUCAGAUGGUGGUGUUCUUCCUGGAUGAACCUUUGCCUAGGGCAGCUAUUUGUGUGAUCCAAGUGGGCAGCGGUUCCGAAGAUGAACAGCCUAUGGAAGAGGGUGAUCCCAUUGAAGAUUCAGAUUCAGAUGAUGAGGAUGGAGAAGCUUCAAGCGAUGAUGGUGAAGGCAUUGUUCGCAUCAGGGGGCUUCUACUUAAUGAGACAGAGUGUUUUCAGCUACAAGGGCUGCUGCCUCUCAGUGAUGAUUUCAUCGGGUUUCCUUUCGUUCACCGCCUCACAAGGACAGACAAUUGUUUGGGCAUGAUGUCACUGGAAUGUGGAUCCAGGCUCAACAUCUUUCUAGAGGCCACCCAACGGCACUGUUCGAAUUGAGACACAGAGAGAAAACGGGAGAGGAAGGAAGCCACAUCACGGGGGCGGGGUUUCCGCGGCGGAACUCGCCGGCGAUGAGAUGCUCGGCGACGCCCGUGAGGAGAUGCUCGGCGAUCCGAGCGCCCCUCCAGAUUCCUCGUGCCUUGCUGAUGAGGGUCUGAUGGAUGCCCGCAUGCAGAUUGAACGCGAGAUCGAAACUAAAGCCAAGUCCUCCUUGAAAGAAGGGUUAGGUCAACAGCUUAAAAUUGAUCAUAUGAAGGAGUCCAAAGACUUAAAAAGAGAUUGCCUAAACAAUGUGCCGCACACAGGUACAGCUUUUGAAGUUGAAGGAGGGAAACCUGGGAGUGAUAGAAAUGAAGAAGGCGGAGAUAAGUUGUGUUAAAGAUAUUGAUUUAGAAGAGAGAGGCUAUGAUGUCGAGAUCACUGACACUGAAGCAUCAGAGGGUUUGCUAUGCGAAGAAGUUCUGACAUUGCUGAGUAAGAGUGCUCAAAGGAAAGAACGACGGGAAGCUCUUUUGGAACGAAAAAAGAAGAUACAUCACUACUUUUUCUUUUUUUUCAUCAGUUGGGGUUCCAUUUUUUUUAUAGUUUUCCAGCUCAAAUAAAUUCACACACCUUUUUACCUUCUAUAUUUCUUUUGCAGCAGAGAGCAAGGAUUGACCCAACCACAACAAAGGUCACCAUUGAUGAGAUUGCAACUAAAGCUUACAGCCGGUGCAGUGUGCCAUACUUCUUUGAGAUUGUCAAUCUCGUGUGGAAGAGCCACCGCAGGGCCCAGCUUGUUAGGAACAGUGGUUUUGGCUAUCUGCUGGAGCUGGUCGACUGUCCUGUACCCAGGGGUUUGUGCAGUGGAUUGCUGAUAAUGUGGACACACAAGCAGAAGCAACUGUUUUGAACAAGAGCAUUCCACUCAACGCUCAGUCAGUGGAGUUUGUGUUGGGGAUUCCUGCAGGGUUUUACCUGACAGAGAGAACAUACAACUGGGAGAGGAGCAAAAGUUUUCCUCUUGUUUAGCUAUACAUGGGCUUUUUGCUUUUUUUUGUGUGUUUGCUACGUCCAUGGGCAGGGUCACAGGUACAACGGGCCAAACAGACAGCAAAAACAAAAAACAAACAAACAAGCAAGCCCACACCACAAGCCCAUGCUAAGCAGGCCUAAUCUGCCAAGGAUGACGUCAGCUGACUGAGACUUCGCGAAGUCUCAGUCGACUGAGACCUGGACAGUCCCAUAGGAUAAGCACCACGGAGAGAGAGAAGGAAUCGAUGGAGGCCAUUGCGCAUGCUCGAAGGACUCUGGUUUUAUGUUCCAAAAAAAAGGACUCAGGUUUUUAUUUUAUAUUUUGAAGAAGAAACGAUUGACGGAAAAGGGAGA